rnacentral:rRNA from 1 species
GUGAGUCAUCGAAUCUUUGAACGCACCUUGCGCCCCUUGGUAUUCCGAGGGGCAUGCCUGUUUGAGUGUCAUUAAAUUCUCAACUCUGAUUUGAUUUGUUUCUAAUCAGAGCUUGGACUUGGAGUGUGCUGGCGUCUAGUCGGCUCCUCUCAAAUGCAUCAGCGGAAUUAGAACCUUUGGUUUCCGGACGUCGGUGUGAUAAUAAAGUUGCGCCGUCUUUCGACUUCAAAGUCCGCUUAUAAUGGUCUUCGGACGAACUCUUAUAUCAAAUUUGACCUCAAAUCAGGUAGGACUACCCGCUGAACUUAAGCAUAUCAAUAAGCGGAGG